UACGUAGGGGGCAAGCGUUAUCCGGAUUUACUGGGUGUAAAGGGAGCGUAGACGGCUUUGCAAGCCAGAUGUGAAAGCCCGGGGCUCAACCUCGGGACUGCAUUUGGAACUGUAUGGCUGGAGUGUCGGAGAGGCAGGCGGAAUUCCUAGUGUAGCGGUGAGAUGCGUAGAUAAUAGGAGGAACACCAGUGGCGGAGGCGGCCUGCUGGACGAUGACUGACGUUGAGGCUCGAAAGCGUGGGGAGCAAACAGG
rnacentral:rRNA from 1 species